rnacentral:rRNA from 1 species
GGGUACUCGAGCGGCGAAAGGGAGAGUAACGCGUGGAUUAUCUGCCCUGGGGAUCGGGAUAGCCGCGGGAAACUGCGGGUAAUACCGGAUAAUGUCUACGGACCAAAGGUGUGAUUCCGCCCUAGGAGGAGUCCGCGUCCUAUUAGCUAGUUGGCGAGGUAACGGCUCACCAAGGCUACGAUGGGUACCGGGCGUUAGCGCGUGACCCGGCUCACUGGGACUGAGACACUGCCCAGACACCUACGGGUGGCUGCAGUCGAGAAUCUUCGGCAAUGGGCGCAAGCCUGACCGAGCGACGCCGCGUGCGGGAUGAAGGCCUUCGGGUUGUAAACCGCUGUCAGUGGGGAGGAAAUCUGAGAGGGUUCUCUCUUUCAGUUGACCUAUCCGCAGAGGAAGCAUGGGCUAAGUUCGUGCCAGCAGCCGCGGUAAGACGAACCAUGCGAACGUUAUUCGGAAUGACUGGGCUUAAAGCGUGCGUAGGCGGUCUCGAAAGUUGGGUGUGAAAUCCCCCGGCUCAACCGGGGAAUUGCGCCCAAAACUGCGGGACUCGAGGGAGAUAGAGGUGGGCGGAACUUCGGGUAGAGCGGUGAAAUGCGUUGAUAUCCGAAGGAACACCAGAGGCGAAAGCGGCCCACUGGAUCUUUUCUGACGCUGAGGCACGAAAGCUAGGGGAGCGAACGGGAUUAGAUACCCCGGUAGUCCUAGCCGUAAACGAUGAGCACUGGAUUGGAGGGUCUCCCAUAGCCUUCCGGUCGUAGCGAAAGUGUUAAGUGCUCCGCCUGGGGAUUAUGGUCGCAAGGCUGAACUCAA